rnacentral:lncRNA from 1 species
UCCACCUUUUCUUCUUCUUCCUCAUUUUUCUUGUUUCCUUUGUGUGGUCUGUGAGAUGCGUUUUUGCUUCUCAAGUACCAAACAAAGAGCCAUGCCUGCUUAGCGAAAAAAUUGAUGUGAAUACAUACAGGCGGGCGCUUGCGCUAAAUGCCAACUUACUUCCAACACGUCAUAAUCUGCAUAAACAGAGUUUCAAAACUUUAAAAUCAUAAGGUUGUUAAUAACAAAAUUUUGAAACCGAGACAAACAUACUCCAUAAAAAUUAUCAUUUGUGUGGAAGAGGAAAAAGUUAUAAAACAGAAAUUGAGAAGGCAAGGACACAUACAGUUCUGGUAGAUCAUUAAUUCGAUGGAAUAAAAUGGAGUAAGGGAAUCAUCAUCACAGUUUGGCUUCUCAGAAUGAUCGUCUUCUUCAUUUUUCUCAAGGGCAGAGCCUUUAUUCAUCUUGCCUGUAAAAA